GGCUUCCUAUUUAUAUAUUGCCUGUCACCAGCAGACGACUGAUCUAACUGAAUUUUCACUUGCUAUGUUUUGUUAUAAAGGGAACUGAUUUUGCAUCUAAAGUGGUAUUAACGAUCUCGUGUAAAUAAUAUUGAU